AUUGAACGCUGGCGGCAGGCCUAACACAUGCAAGUCGAACGGUAACAGGAAGAAGCUUGCUUCUUUGCUGGCGAGUGGCGGACGGGUGAGUAAUGUCUGGGAAACUGCCUGAUGGAGGGGGAUAACUACUGGAAACGGUAGCUAAUACCGCAUAACGUCGCAAGACCAAAGAGGGGGACCUUAGGGCCUCUUGCCAUCGGAUGUGCCCAGAUGGGAUUAGCUAGUAGGUGGGGUAACGGCUCACCUAGGCGACGAUCCCUAGCUGGUCUGAGAGGGUGACCAGCCACACUGGAACUGAGACACGGUCCAGACUCCUACGGGAGGCAGCAGUGGGGAAUAUUGCACAAUGGGCGCAAGCCUGAUGCAGCCAUGCCGCGUGUAUGAAGAAGGCCUUCGGGUUGUAAAGUACUUUCAGCGGGGAGGAAGGGAGUAAAGUUAAUACCUUUGCUCAUUGACGUUACCCGCAGAAGAAGCACCGGCUAACUCCGUG
rnacentral:rRNA from 1 species